AUAUUUACCUGGCAGGGGAGAUUCCAUGAUCCCAAAGGUGGUUUUCUCAGGGCGAGGCUUAUGCAUGGUACUGUGGAUAUGCCGACCCCUGCGAUUUCCCCAAAUGUGGGGAACUUGAAUGCUUAAUUGGUGGUAGUGGGGGGCUGUGUUCUCACCCUCCCCUA